GCGAACGCUGGCGGCAGGCCUAACACAUGCAAGUCGAGCGGCCGUAGCAAUACGGCAGCGGCAGACGGGAGAGUAACACGUGGGAACGCGCCCUUUGGUUCGGAAUAACUCAGGGAAACUUGAGCUAAUACCGGAUAAGCCCUUACGGGGAAAGAUUUAUCGCCAAAGGAACGGCCCGCGUCCGAUUAGCUAGUUGGUGAGGUAACGGCUCACCAAGGCGACGAUCGGUAGCUGGUCUGAGAGGAUGACCAGCCUCACUGGGACUGAGACACGGCCCAGACUCCUACGGGAGGCAGCAGUGGGGAAUAUUGGACAAUGGGCGCAAGCCUGAUCCAGCCAUGCCGCGUGAGUGAUGAAGGCCUUAGGGUUGUAAAGCUCUUUUAGCAGGGAAGAUAAUGACGGUACCUGCAGAAAAAGCCCCGGCUAACUUCGU
rnacentral:rRNA from 1 species